rnacentral:rRNA from 1 species
UUCGAUCGGAUACUUGGUACUGCGCUCGAUGGAGCCGUCGAUGGCGCGAAGCUACAUCCGCGGGUUAAUGACUGAGCGCCUCUAAAGUCAGAAACCUUGCUAGAAACA